GGGACUCUGGGAAGGGUGCAGGCUCCCCAGGCUGCUCUCCUGCUUGGGGAAGGCAGAGGGUGAGGGGCGAGUGGGGCCCUGGGGCAGCACUUCAGCAAGCUGGCUCCUAGCUGUCCACUGCAGGGACUGCAGACCAGGAUAAGCAGGGAAAUUUCCACCAUCUCCCACGAAGGGGAAUAUUACCAGGACCCGAAUAGACACUGGGGUCUUGUACCUGAGGGCGAGACAUGUCUCUGGAUAUAAGGAAGCAGUUAUGCUGAGAGAUGACAGAGGCCAACACUUAUGUAUUAUCUACCAGUGGUGGGCUUCACAGCAGCUGCAUAGACACAUCUCAUUUAAUUCUCAUGAGAGUCCUGUUACAGUGCUACCAUUAUGCCUAAUUCACAAACAAGAAAACCAAGGUUGAAUAAAUAUCCUGCCCAAGUUGGCUGAGACCAGGAUACAUGCUUUGGAAGCAAAUUACCUUUCCCACCAGCCCCAGGGACACAGAGAGGACCCAGGCCACCCUCAAGGGACAUACAGGCGAUUGAGGACAUCAGAUCUAUAAACUAAUGAUUUCAACUCAACAAUGUAAACAUUCAAGGGAAUUAAGAAGAAAAUGCUUAUGGAAACAAAAAAGAGUCAAGGUCAUCUGUGGGGGAGGGGGUUGCUGGAAGAGGUGUCAUGAACAAAGUGACAUUUGCAUUGGGCUUUGCAGGACAAGCAGCUAUUUGCCAAACAGAAGAAAGGGCCUUCCAUGUAGACGUGUCCACCAGGGAAAAGGCAUAAAGGAGUGAAAGUUCAUGGAGGGCCAAGCACGGGGGAGAAGUUCAGUCCAGGGUGACCCUGGGGAGGAGGGCUGUCAGGGACCUCGGAUUUGGACUCUUCAAUGCUCCCUCCAGAAUAAGGGUAUACACCCAGUCAUUGUACUCUGUGUGUGUGCAUUAGAAACUUUGGUUUGUUAAAUGAACAAAUUAAAACUGUACCACAAAUUUGAUCAUCCUCUUUUGGAAUUUUAAAAAACAAACCUAGAGUCUCAAAAAAACCUGAAGCACUAUCCUCCUCUUUCAAAAAUACAUACGGAGGUAUUUUCAGAUUAAAAAAAAACAUACUGUCUUCGAUUUGCCUUAAAAUAAUCCAAUGUGGGGUGUGGAGGGGACAAGACUGGGUGUGUCUUGAAACUGGGUGAUAGAUACACGGAGAUUCGUCAUCUUUCUCUACUUUCAAAUGGGUUUGAACGUUGUUAUAAUAAAAGAUUUUUUUUAGAGAGCCCCCACCACCACCCUGAGUGGUCCUGGGGAGCUCCAGGAUGUUUUUUUCUGGGGAGAGGGAAGGAUGAAUGAUGGGCAGGAGUGGACAUGGGGCUGAAAAGUGGAUUGGAGCCAAACUGUAAAAACCCUUGUAAAUUCUUCUGCGAGGUUUGGACUUAAUCCUGCAAAUGAUGGGAAGCCCAGGAAAGAAUUUUUAGUAGGGGAAUGACACCAUUAGAUGUGCAGUUGGGAAACAACCCUUGUGGCUGGUGUCUGGAAGACAGGGGGGUAUGUGUGUGUGUUUAGGGAGGAGGGGCUGGGGUCAAGCAGAGGGCCCAGAUGAGGCCUAUGAGUGGUGGGCCUGCCUUCCCCACUACACCGUCCCUAGGCUGUGCCACCAGGGAGGACCCGACCUGAGGCAGGGACCAGGGAACAGAAAGGAAGGAUGAAUCUGAGCGAGACCUCUUUUAUUUCUGUCUUUGCAGCACCACACUCUCUUGUGGUCCCUCUUCGCAACAAGUAAUUACUUAGUGCAAUAUGUCAAUAAAGAUGACCUACCGACUGUGUCUCUGGCUAGACUAGGUAUAGCCAGACCAAGGCUGUCUCCCUCCCUCCUUAACCCCCGCACUGGCCUGAUGCCUGGCAACAGUCAGCUGUUGAGUGAAUGGAAGUAUAGCAGGGGCCUGUCCCUGAUCACUAAGUCUUUGCUGCAUGAAUGAAUAAAUCCAGCACAGCAUCUGACACGUCGUAGCCCCUCAGUAAAUGUCUGCAGUGGGACCCAACUAACGUGAACCUGCAGGACACCGAUUCUCAAGGCGGGUGAGGAAGGUUCAGAUUCCCCUUUAGGAAAAAAGCAUUUUCCUCUCAGCACAAGAGCGUCCAAACAGGCAGUGGUUCCUAAGCCGAAAGGGGAUGGGAAAAAAACAAACCGGGCGCAAGGUUUGUCCAUUAAUAUGUCGGCCCUUGAAACUGAUGUCUUCAUUUCCAGCUUGGCUCCUUGAUGAGGUGCUUCCUCCAUUUCAGAUGGAUGGUGUUUUUUCCUCUUCUGAAAAAAGCUUCUAGAGGCUUUUAAAUUAGGCAAAUGAGCAAGGGCAAUGUUCAUUUCUUUCCCUUUCAUUUUGAAAACGUGUGGCGUGCCAAAAGGCAGUUGGACGGAAUGUUCAGAGGCCACAUAAUAGAACAACAGAGGCUGCCAAGCUCCGAAAUCACAAACCAGACAAGACAAUCUCAGCUCUCGGGACGUAGAGACCCCUGGUCAGCACCAUGAGUCCCCAGCAAGUGACAAGAUGGACCACCACCCACAGUUCCAGCAGGAAAGGAUGCCUCUACCUUGAGGUCCUUACAAGAAGAGAUGAAGUCCAUUUUCCCCCUCCUCAAAUCUGGGAUGGCCUUGUAACUUUCUUUGGCCAAGACAGUGCAGCAGAAGUGAUGAUAGGGGUUCUAAGCCUAGUGCCUGUGGGCACAGCAGGACAGCAGCAUAGAACCCUCCUGAGGGCCAGAUUCGACAUCCUCCAUCUCAACAGGGUCCCCGAGGUUUUCCUGACUCCAAGGACACUGCAGAUUCCCAGCUCAUAACAAAUGAUGUUCAUGCACAUGCCAGCCCUUUCUUUCUAUGAGGCAAUCCUCAGAGGCCUUUGCCAAGAUAAACUGUUUGGCCUUCUGCCUUGAAAGUCGAUCCUCUUCUGCGUCUGAUUAUUGCUUUUCUGAAACACAGGGACAAUGACAUCAUUGCUCCCUCCCUGGUUUGGGGAUUUGAUGGUCAGCAUGAAGUCAGGGUUUGGAAUGGUGCCUGCUCUUUGCCAAUGUCCACGGGCGGGGGUGGCCUGGAGUAAAGCAAGCUCGUGAGGGGGAGGUGGGUGCCGUGAGGUCCCCAGGGGCUGGGGGUUGGGGGCAGAUUCGCUUUUCAUUCUGUUGCCAGCAUCCGGGUCUGCCUUGUUGUAUAUGGGAUAGGCAGUAUUCUGAUGAGGGCUGAGCUGACAUUCAAUGGAUACACACCUGCCUGGCUGUACCCAUUAUUACAAUGGUUAAAUACCUUCGUUCCCAUUGGUAGUCAUUUGUGGGGUGCCUUCCCACCACCUCAGCUUCUCUGGCCUCUCCCUGGGCCAACAUCCUAGAAUUCCCACCAUCUAGCACCUCCAGGGACCUAUCCAGUAGCCCUCUGAUGGUCGAUGCCUGUGCCACACUGUAGGUAAAAUAUGCUUACUACUCCUCACAGAGGGAUGGGAGAACUUUGGCUGGUCUGUUGGCUAGAUGCCUGCAGGAGGCCAUUGCCAUGUGAGUUAGGGUCAAAGUCUGUUUCUUGGGCUCCCAGGCCUGGAACCUGUCAACAGAAAUUCCCUCUUGCCACUGUGGGGCAUGGUCCUUGCAUAAUCAAGGGUUAAUAGUUCCUCUGCUAGAGGUUAGAAGGCACUGCAGAGGUUAUUCCCGUCCACCCGACUCUUUGCACAGAGAACCUUCAGCUCAGAAGGGAAGUCAUUUGUUCAAGUCAUAGCAAGUUGGUGACCCAUCCAAGCCUUCUGACUGUCAUGAUAGCCAAGGGAACAUUUCCCAUACCCCAAAGGGACUGUGCCUGGGGUAAAAAUCAGGAAUUACUGAAGCGGUUUAUUUAGUCCAUCUAGAGCACAAUUUCUCCCAAAAUGAAAAGCAAGGCAGUGUCAAGCUGCAAUGAGAGAGCUCGGGGGCCAGGGGUGGUAAACUUGAAUGCCCGGGGGCCAAGGAGUGACAGAUGCCAGGGAGGAGGAGGCAAGCAAAGACCAUGAAGACGUUUGAAACAUUCUACCCUCGUAGGCUCCCUUUCUGCACCAGGUCCAUUUAGCAGAAUGGUCAUUGUCUUCUCUAGUUUGUGUGGAUUUCAAACUUAGCCCUGGCCAGGCACAAUCAUAUUACCCAGUAACCUGGCAGGUACCUAUGCAGAGGUCUCGAUUUGGCAGUGCAUGGGCUGAACGUGGCUUGUGAAUCUAUUUCACUGGGACCACCCAGUGUUGCUGAUCUUUCAAAAACUGAAUAAGCUGCUAACAUUUAUAAAGUGGGAGAUUUCAUAUAAAAACUUGGACAUGGGGCUUUUCUUGAAUAAUUGUUAGGGAUCUGGGCACCUGUGCACCUGCAUUUCUGUAGGCAGAGCCAGGUCCUUUUAGAUGGGGCAUGUAUUCCUGUUCGCUACCCCACCCCCAUUUCCCUGUUGGCUUUGGUCAUUCGUUAGCCCAGGGGCACUCAAAUUUGCCACCCCUGGCUCAGAGUCUUCUUGCUGCAUGAGCUUGCCUUGCUUUUUGUUUCUUGGAAAAGUUGUGCUCUGGAUGGAAUAAGUAGCCCACUUCAGCAUUCAUGAUCUUUCUCUCCAAGUUCAGGCCCUUUUGGCUAUGAGGGAUUUCAGGGUCCCAGGCCUGUUGAGGUUGACCAAUGCUGUGAUUUUGAGGUUCCUCCCCUCCUCUCUGCCCACCUCCCUCCCCAGCAGUGUUAUUCUUUCCACUUAGGCUACCCAACUCCUGCCAUCCCAUUCCCGAGAGCCGCAUGCAGACCACGACACUUACAGACACUGCAGAGCACUCACGACGAGAGGGUGUGCAUGGGGAUUUGCGCAUAAGAGACACAUUUCUGACUUUAAGUUUGAAGAAUCUCAGUCACGUUGUGGGGACUAUACAAGAUGGGGAUGAUUGAAAGCAAAGUCCAAAUACACUGCCUCGUAUGAAGGAUUUCAUAAAAGACAGCUCACCUCCAUGGGGAAAGGGACGGGAGCCAUCAGGGAAGGCCUGAUGAAGGACGACGUGUUUGAGACGGCCCUUGAAGGAUGACUAGGAGCUUGAGAGUUGGGAAUUGGUUGGAGUGAGGGGAAGAAAUAGUGUUGCAGGCAGGCAGUGGGAAGGGUUGGAGAAGAGGCUGGUGUGGGGAAGGUGUGUGUGCAGCAGGUGCCGCCAGUGUGAAGAGGCAGGUGGGGGAUGAGGUAGGACCUCAGGUUGGAGAGACGGGUGGAGCCAUGCUUUGAGGACUUUAAUUGCCCUGGUAGGAGCUGGGGACCCUAUUAAAGUGCAGAAAAGGGAGAGGAGUUGUCAGUAAUUUACACCAAGUGAAGGAGGACUGACGGCUUAUUUUGCAGAGGGAAGAAAGAAAGGGAAGAAAGCAGAUGAGCUUUUGGGCAGAGGUGGGAGGGAAGGGAACAGGCUGACAUGCUCCAGCCAGGGGUGUUGAAGAAAGGAGAAGUGUAGAAGCCUGGAGUCAUGAAGGUGCUACACUGAGGAUCUUGGAACUUCCAGUCUGGAAGAGGCUUUGGAAAUAUCCAGCCCCAUCUCCUCAUGCUGCUGUGAAGGACACUGAGGGACUAAGUGGGGAGUGAGGGACAUGGAUCCUGGGGGGUGAAGCUGAGUUGUUUUAUCUUUUACAGUGUCUAACACAUAGUAUGUAUCCAGAAAAUUGUGUUGAAAUGGUUAAAAUGCUGCUUUCUCCCUAGAACUGACUUGAUAAAAUGGAAAGGAAAGUACGGUUAGCUGGUUGGUUGGUUGGUAGCAAGUCCAUGAAGGUGCCAUCACUUGCCGCUCCCCUUUGGAGGAAGCCCCCAGAUGAUUCACUUAUGCCCUCACGUGGGAUCUCAGUUCCCAUGGAGGUCCGGUGCUUGCUCAGGAGUUGGGGUGCAGUGCACUGGGUGGCUCCCCUUUCCUGCCCACCCUCCUCCCAGGCACGUUAUGUAAGUGGGCGGGGGUAGCCCGGCGGGCUGGUGGCUUCCUGCAGCAGCGGCAGGGCUGGGCAUCCGAGCUGGCACUGUUUAAGUUCACCGCAGCAUUCUGAACAUUUGGGAACACAGGAAAGGCUGCUUUUUAAGCUCCCUUUGUUUUCAAGGAGGGUCCGGAGCCCACAGGGAGGAGAAAAACAAAACCAGGAAAACAGAUGACUUGCUUUGCAAAGACAGUGUGUACAUUUGCUUGUGCUGCUCUGAGUCCUAAUAUACCCCUGUUCCCGUGCACAUAUGCACACCUACACAUCAGACACACCCACAACCUUUACUUACACCUUCCUCGGGCACGCAGACACACCCACAAGCCGAGACUUCUGUGCAUAUAGAUACCACCCUGCUAACGACAGGGGGACAUCCACACACGCAGCUGGCAAACGAAAACAUGCAACCAGAAACAUGGAGAUCCCUGUGCAGAGACACACACCAGUACCCACGUGCACACAUACCCACGUGUACACCAAAGACAUCCAGACACAUGGACACAUGCAGACAUACACACAGAAACUCUGAGACAGCCACUCUCACAGAUUCAUAGACAGAACACACACAUUCUCUCUCGCAUCCCUUUUUCUUGCCCUGGCUUCAACUGUACAAACAUGGGGAGUAUGUUUCCAAGGAGCCAGCUGGCCCCUGGGGACUCUCUGCAGCUUUAGGAGACCCAGAGCUCUCCUCCCCACACACCCUCAGCCUGCUGCCCACUAGGCUCAGGCCUCAGCCCUUUGGAGAAAGUGGGAGGGCAAGAUAAAGGUUCAAAAGGCUCCAGGGUGCAGAGGGCAAGUCCUUUUGCCUUUCCCCCUUUCCCUGGGGUGUUUGUAUUUCUAGAAUGUUCCACUUAGUGUCCUUGUUUAAUUAACAAGUUUGAAUCCUUCAUUCACAAAGUGAGCUCUUCAAUAUUAAGGAGAACUGAGGGGAGAGAGGCAGGGAGAGACCCAGGAGGGGCUGGUUGGAGCAUCCUUGUCAUCUGCUUGUCCUGGGGAUUUCUGCACGUUCCCAAGUUGGUACCCAAAAGGGGCUGGAGAAAAGAAGUUGGAAGAGAAGAUCUGGGGGGAGCGGGGACCUCCACAAUUCCUCUGGCAAUAAAGGAGAUAGGAAGAUAAAAAGUCCCGGGAAUCUUUAGCUACCAUCUGGGAGGGGCCAGAUUUCCCCUUCCUGUAACCUGUGCUGUUACUAAGAAUAUUUCCUUUGCUGUGUGUUCAGUUUCUCUAAUUGAAAUGGAAAAGCUGGGGCCUUUCCCUGGAGGAAGAAACUCCUUUCUCCCUGAGGAGAGGCCCAGGUGAGCUGGGGGCCCUCUAGGGAGGGACUCAGACCCAGAAGGUUAAGGAGCUCAGAGUCUGGGAGCUGCAAGAGGAAGUCCCCAGGUGCCAUCCUUCCAGGGUGCUCCCUGAGUCUGGUGGAAUCCAGUACACUCAGGAAUCGCUUAGGCUCGAGGGUGGGACCUGUGUCAGGGAGAGCAGAAUGGCAGCCCUGAAGGUAGAAGUGGAGGUUUCCCGGUCUUGCAUAGAUCUUAGGGAAGAUUGUGAAAUGGAUAAAGGUCCAAGAAAAUUACAUCUAGAUCUCAGAGGGCAAGGAAAGAGGCCCAGCUGACAUCUGGGCAACAUAUGUAAAAGCCUUUGCAAACUCUAAGGCACUGUGCAAUGCAAAGAAUCGUUUGCUGUCUUUGUUAUAAUGUAUACAAACCAUCAUCAAAAUGUUUGUGUUGAGUGGUUGAUAAUUACAAACGUAGCUGGGAAAGAAACCGACUGGGGCAGAUCCCUGGGACAACCAGCUCCGGCUUUGUCCGGCAGGCAGCACGAGGUGGGGGGAGGCUGACCGGCGAGAAUGUCUUCUUCUAAGACAGCUAACCUUUUUCCCUAAUGGCCAGGCCCCAACAGCUCCUCCUUCUCUAUCUUUUGCAUCAUCCACAGACUUAUUUAAACACUUUCUAACGUUUUUUAUACUUUUCCAGAGCCGCUCUUGGGAGUCUCUGCUGCAAUCUUUUUUUUUUUUUUUUGUCUUUUUGCGU